rnacentral:rRNA from 1 species
GAGUUUGAUCAUGGCUCAGAUUGAACGCUGGCGGCAUGCCUUACACAUGCAAGUCGAACGGCAGCACGGGAGCUUGCUCCUGGUGGCGAGUGGCGAACGGGUGAGUAAUGCAUCGGAACGUAUCCUGGAGUGGGGGGAUAACGUAGCGAAAGUUACGCUAAUACCGCAUAUUCUGUGAGCAGGAAAGCGGGGGACCUUCGGGCCUCGCGCUCUUGGAGCGGCCGAUGUCGGAUUAGCUAGUUGGUGAGGUAAAGGCUCACCAAGGCGACGAUCCGUAGCAGGUCUGAGAGGAUGAUCUGCCACACUGGAACUGAGACACGGUCCAGACUCCUACGGGAGGCAGCAGUGGGGAAUUUUGGACAAUGGGGGCAACCCUGAUCCAGCCAUGCCGCGUGAGUGAAGAAGG